AAUUUGUUUAGCCGCUCUGUCAUUAUAAACUGCUUCUGCUGAAAUUCACAACUUGGAGUCAUUUAGGCAAUCAAAGAUUGACUUUGCAGGAUUAAUUGUGUUAACAAACUUCACUAUAAAGAUUAGCAGUAGAUUCCUUGUCAGAAUUUGAACCGUGUUUCUUGAUCCUGACAUAUACUUGUUAUAUAUUCGAGAUUUAGGAUUACCAGAUUCAGGGGUGGCGCAACGGCAGUUGAAUCAGAGAAAAGCUCCGGUUAUGGUGGCAUGAAAACUUUGUGAAACAGCAAAUGGGUCUCUUGAUACAGAGCACCGAGUCGAAAGAGGCUGAGUUUUGGCGAGUCGGUGAGUUGACUUGGGACAGAUGAUUAAAAAUACGUGAGAUGUGGCUUUUACCACCGGAAUGUUACCGGAUUUAUGCCGGUUUAUCGGAGAUGUGCUUAAGGUUGUAAUGAACGGAUGAAGGCAGGACAGGGUAAAAGAAGAGGAAAUAAGGUCUUGUAUAGUUAAGAUGUUGCUUGAUUGUUUACAUAAGAGAUUGGCCGAAUAUAUAAGCAUACACUAACCAAACUUGGGGACCAAGCUUGUUACUGUAGAAUGUAUUAUUCAAAGUUUCUAACAACGUUUAUUAAUAGACCCGGGGACCAAUUUUGAUCAACUUUGCAGCAAAUUGAUCUGGUCUUUGUUG
rnacentral:lncRNA from 1 species